UAAUAUAUUUUAUUUUUUUUAUUUAAAUUUAUUUUUUUAAAGUAUUAUUUUUUUUAGUUUUUAUUUUAAAAAAUUAUUUUUUUGUACUGUGAAGGUUUAUUAUAUAUUAUUGACAAAGAAAAUUUUAUUUGUUGUACCUUGUGUAUCAGGGUUGAUUAAUUUUUUUAUAUGUAUAUAUUAAUCCCGAAUCAAAAGGAGUUAAUUUUUUAUAAAUUUUUAUGUUGAAUAAUAAUUUAUAAUAUUAAUUUUGAUUUGAAAUGUAAUUCGUCUUUUGAUAUAUCUGGUUUUUAAAUAAAAAAAUUAAAUUUUAUGUUCUUUAGGAAAGAUUUUUUAUUGAUAAUUUUUUUCUUAUGAGCUUAAAUAUUAAAGGGGAUAAGCUUUUUAAUAUAUAUUUAUAAUUUUUUAAUAUAAAAUAUUUAAUAGGAUUAGAAUUUUUCAUUUUUAUUAUGUUUUAAUUACUUAUUUUUUAAUAAUAUUUUGUUUAUUUUAAGUUUUUUAUUUAAAAUUUUAAUUUAAUAAUGUUUUUAUUUUAUUAUGAUUAAAUUAGUAAAUGGUUUUUGUAUUUUUUGUUUAUUUUCAGAAGAGUUUAAGGAACUCGACUUUCUCUCUUGCCUGUUUAUUAAAAACAUGUCUUUUUGAUUAUAUUUUAAAGUCUGGCCUGCCCAAUGAUUAAUUAAAUGGCCGCGGUAUUUUAACCGUGCAAAGGUAGCAUAAUCAUUAGUUUUUUAAUUGAAAGCUGGAAUGAAUGGUUUGACAAGGGGAGUUUUGUCUCAUUCUUUAUUUUUUGAAUUUUAUUUUUGAAUUAAAAAGUUCAAAUUUUUUUGAAAGACGAGAAGACCCUAUAGAGUUUAAUAUUUUUUGGUUAAUAAUUUAUUUAGGAUUUUUCUUUUAUUAAUUAAAAAUUAUUUUGUUGGGGUGAUGGGAAUAAUUUGACAAACUUUUCUUUUAUUUUUAUAUUUAUUUAUAUUUUAUUGAUUCAAUUUUUUUUGAUUAUAAGUUAAAAUUACCUUAGGGAUAACAGCGUAAUCUUUCUUUAGAGUUCUUAUUGAUGGAAGGGGUUGCGACCUCGAUGUUGGAUUAAAGUAAACUUCUGGUGCAAAAGCUUGAAUGUUAGGUCUGUUCGACCUUUAAAACUUUACAUGAUCUGAGUUAAAACCGGUUUGAGCCAGGUUGGUUUCUAUCUUCAAUUUUUUUGAUUUACUUAGUACGAAAGGACCAGUAUUUCAAUAUAUUAUUUAUUUUUUGGGUAUUCUU
rnacentral:rRNA from 1 species